rnacentral:rRNA from 1 species
AACGCGAAGAACCUUACCUGGGCUUGAACCGCACAGGACCAUUCUGAGAAAUCGGAACUUCCCGCAAGGGACCUGUGUAGAGGUGCUGCAUGGCUGUCGUCAGCUCGUGCCGUGAGGUGUUGGGUUAAGUCCCGCAACGAGCGCAACCCUUACUCUUAGUUGCCACCCGCAAGGGGGAACUCUAAGAGGACUGCUCCGGAUAACGGAGAGGAAGGUGGGGAUGAGGUCAAGUCAGCAUGGCCUUUAUGUCCAGGGCCACACACGUGUUACAAUGCGCGCUACAAUGCGUUGCCAACCCGCGAGGGGGAGCUAAUCGCAAAAAAGCGCGCUCAGUUCGGAUUGUACUCUGCAACUCGAGUACAUGAAGCUGGAAUCGCUAGUAAUGGCGCAUCAGAACGGCGCCGUGAAUACGUUCCCGGGCCUUGUA